rnacentral:rRNA from 1 species
UAGGGAAUCUUCGGCAAUGGACGAAGUCUGACCGAGCAACGCCGCGUGAGUGAAGAAGGUUUUCGGAUCGUAAAACUCUGUUGUUAGAGAAGAACAAGGACGUUAGUAACUGAACGUCCCCUGACGGUAUCUAACCAGAAAGCCACGGCUAACUACGUGCCAGCAGCCGCGGUAAUACGUAGGUGGCAAGCGUUGUCCGGAUUUAUUGGGCGUAAAGCGAGCGCAGGCGGUUUCUUAAGUCUGAUGUGAAAGCCCCCGGCUCAACCGGGGAGGGUCAUUGGAAACUGGGAGACUUGAGUGCAGAAGAGGAGAGUGGAAUUCCAUGUGUAGCGGUGAAAUGCGUAGAUAUAUGGAGGAACACCAGUGGCGAAGGCGGCUCUCUGGUCUGUAACUGACGCUGAGGCUCGAAAGCGUGGGGAGCAAACAGG